UACGUAGGGUGCGAGCGUUAAUCGGAAUUACUGGGCGUAAAGCGUGCGCAGGCGGUUAUUUAAGUCAGGUGUGAAAGCCCUGGGCUUAACCUAGGAAUUGCGCUUGAGACUGGAUAGCUUGGAGUGCGGCAGAGGGAGGUGGAAUUCCACGUGUAGCAGUGAAAUGCGUAGAGAUCGGGAGGAACACCCGUGGCGAAGGCGGCCAUCUCGGACCAGCACUGACGCUGAGGCACGAAAGCGUGGGGAGCGGAACAGG
rnacentral:rRNA from 1 species